rnacentral:tRNA from 1 species
CAAGGGGUAGUUUAAUAAAAUAUUAGUUUUGGGGACUGAAGAAAGAACGCUUGUUUUACCCUUGA